rnacentral:rRNA from 1 species
UACGGGGGGGGCAAGCGGUUGUUCGGAAUUACUGGGCGUAAAGGGCUUGUAGGUGGCCAACUAAGUCAGACGUGAAAUCCCUCGGCUUAACCGGGGAACUGCGUCUGAUACUGGAUGGCUAGAGAUUGGGAGAGGGAUGCGGAAUUCCAGGUGUAGCGGUGAAAUGCGUAGAUAUCUGGAGGAACACCGGUGGCGAAGGCGGCAUCCUGGACCAACACUGACACUGAAAAGCGAAAGCCAGGGGAGCAGACGGG